rnacentral:rRNA from 1 species
UACGGAGGGGGGCUAGCGUCGUUCGGAAUUACUGGGCGUAAAGCGCACGUAGGCGGCUUUGUAAGUUAGAGGUGAAAGCCCAGGGCUUAACCCUGGAAUUGCCUUUAAGACUGCAUCGCUAGAAUCGUGGAGAGGUGAGUGGAAUUCCGAGUGUAGAGGUGAAAUUCGUAGAUAUUCGGAAGAACACCAGUGGCGAAGGCGACUCACUGGACACGUAUUGACGCUGAGGUGCGAAAAGCGUGGGGGAGCAAACAGG